rnacentral:lncRNA from 1 species
AUGCAUGUCAACAUCCGAAGUCUCCUCCCUAAGUUUGUUUUACUAACUGCUUUAGCACAGCCUGCCAACCCUGAUGUCCUUGCCGUGUCUGAAUCCUGGCUUAGGAAGGCCACCAAAAAUUCUGAGAUUUCCAUACCCAACUAUAACACUUUCCAUCAAGAUAGAACUGCCAAAGGGGGAGGAGUUGCAAUCUACUGCAGAGAGAACUUUGCAGGCUAUGUCAUACUUUCCAGGUCUAUGCCCGAACUUCUCAUUUUAAAAAUUAAUCUUUCCAGAAAUAAGUCUCUCACUGUUGCCGCCUGCUACCGACUCCCCUCAGCUCCCAGCUGUGCCCUGGACACCAUCUGUGAAUUGAUCGCCCCCCAUCUAGCUUCAGAGUUUGUUCUGUUAGGUGACCUAAACUGGGAUAUGCUUAACACCCCGGCAGUCCUACAAUCUAAGCUAGAUUCUCUCAAUCUCACACAAAUCAUCAAGGAACCCACCAGGUACAACCCUAAAUCUGUAAACAUGGGCACCCUAAUUGACAUUAUCCUGACCAACUUCCCCUCCAAAUACACCUCUGCUGUCUUCAAUCAGGAUCUCAGCGAUCACUGCCUCAUUGGCUGUAUCCGCUACGGGUCCGCGGUCAAACGACCACCGCUCAUCACUGUCAAACGCUCCCUAAAACACUUCUGCGAGCAGGCCUUUCUAAUCGACCUGGCCCGGGUAUCCUGGAAGGAUAUUGACCUCAUACCGUCAGUUGAGGAUGCCUGGUCAUUCUUUAAAAUGAACUUCCUCACCAUCUUAGACAAGCAUGCUCCGUUCAAAAAAUGCAGAACUAAGAACAGAUAUAGCCCUUGGUUCACUCCAGACCUGACUGCCCUCGACCAGCACAAUUGGACUGCAAUAGCAUCGAAUAGUCCCCGUGAUAUGCAACUGUUCAGGGCAGUCAGGAACCAAUACACGCAGUCAGUCAGGAAAGCAAAGGCCAGCUUUUUCAAGCAGAAAUUUGCAUCCUGUAGCUCUAACUCCAAAAUGUUCUGGGAGAACAAGAGCACCUCCUCCCAGCUGCCCACUGCACUGAGGCUAGGUAACACGGUCACCACCGAUAAAUCAGUGAUAAUCGAAAACUUCAACAAGCAUUUCUCAACAGCUGGCCAUGCCUUCCUCCUGGCUACUCCAACCUCGGGCCAACAGCUCCGCCCCCCCGCAGCUACUCGCCCACACCUCCCCAGCUUCUCCUUCACCCAAAUCCAGAGAGCAGAUGUUCUGAAAGAGCUGCAAAACCUGGACCCAUACAAAUCAGCUGGGCUUGACAAUCUGGACCCUCUAUUUCUGAAACUGUCCGCCGCCAUUGUCGCAACCCCUAUUACCAGCCUGUUCAACCUCUCCUUCGUAUCAUCUGAGAUCCCCAAGGAUUGGAAAGCUGCCGCGUUUAUCCCCCUCUUCAAAGGGGAGACACCCUGGACCCAAACUGUUACAGACCUAUAUCCAUCCUGCCCUGCCUAUCUAAGGUCUUCGAAAGCCAAGUCAACAAACAGAUCACUGACCAUCUCGAAUCCCACCGUACCUUCUCCGCUGUGCAAUCCGGUUUCCGAGCCGGUUACGGGUGCACCUCAGCCACGCUCAAGGUACUAA